rnacentral:rRNA from 1 species
UACGUAGGCCCCGAGCGUUAUCCGGAAUUACUGGGUGUAAAGCGUUUGUAGGCGGGUGCGAAAGUCAGGUAUGAAAGCACGGGGCUCAACCCCGUGUCGUGCUUGAAACUUCGCGCCUAGAAUGAGGGAGAGGAAAGCGGAAUUAUGCGAGUAAGGGUGCAAUCUGUUGAUACGCAUAAGAACACCAAAAGCGAAGGCAGCUUUCUGGAACUCUAUUGACGCUGAGAAACGAAAGCGUGGGGAGCGAAAAGG